rnacentral:lncRNA from 10 species
AGAGAAACGCGGGAGUGGUGGGGGAUGUGGGUUCCUGUGUGCUGAGCGGAGGAGCCGGGGUGGGGGCGGUGCAAGCGGAAGAAAGAGCCAAGAGAGCGGAAAAUCGGCUGGUGCUGUCGCCGCCCGAGUUUUGUGUUUCCACAGCUUUCCAGUUGGGUACAACGGAGCCGAACUCCGUGUUCCCGGGCUGGAGAGCCUUGGUGUCCCCGCCAACCCCCAGUAGGAAGCGAGCGCUGUAACAUGGGAGGCGUGGUCGCCACUGAUCUUGUCUCCCCCCAGAGCCUUCCUAAAGGCUCUGCCGCCACGAGACUGCACCACCGGGAAAGAAGUGUGUGAAAGUGUACUCCGUAAACAGGCAAUCCUGUACGCGACUUAGGGGCAGAAAGACCCUCCGCACUUUUAUCAUUUGAAAGUAAGGUGGACGAUUCCAGCCUGGUGUCCCUGAGGGUACACACAGGCCCCCCGCGCAGCCAGAGGUGACUCAGGAACCCCCCUUCCAACCCCUGCGUAGAACGCCGAACAGUCUUCGGAGAAUUCGCUUUCCUCCACGUGAAAAGGAAAAGAAAAACAUUUGAGGAGUCGCAGUAGUCACUUGUACUCCCCAAACACACGGGAAGAAGUUGAUCAGUUUGCAUGCUUGGAGUCAAAUUACGCUCAGCACAAAUCCAACGCCCCUGAAUUAAAUGAGCAGUAGAAGCUCUCUGCAAAAAACACAACAGUAUUUGUGACCCGGUAUUAUUUCAGGAGGUAAAAACAUCUAUAAGCAGAUGCAUUUGGGACGUAUGCAUUUCCUGGUAAUGUCAAUAUCGCAUUAAGCUAGUGGGUUUGGGCAGGGAAAGCCUGAAUCGGACAAGAAGCUGGCUUUUUUUUUUUUUAGGCUAUAAAUAACCAGACCAUGCCAGACACAUGUUCUUAGGCUAUGUUCUUAGGCUCAGGUGAUUGGAGUGCCCCCCCCCCCAUCCCCACCCUCAGGGCUUAGGGAGAAUGGAAGAUAAGGUGGAUGCUGUCACCUGUAUUAAUAGUUAGGGCUUGCAUACAUACAGUAAAGUUUCAAGAGUGAAACUUCAUCGACUGAACUCUUUAUGAAGUGACUGCCUGACUCUACACGCGAUGUUUUAGGAGUUGAAUUUUUACUUUCCCCCUGACACCUUUCUUUUUUGUAUCCUCAAGAAACAAAUUUCCGUACCGUAAGUUUACCUGGGACUACCAAAACAGUUCUGUUAGAUGACCGUGGAAUUCACCCCAAAUGUGCACAUAACCAAUAAGGGCGAGGCAGCCCCCUAGAGGGAGCUGUAGGUUGAUGAGCCAAGUGAUUUUAGGUAUGCAGUCUAAUUUCCAAACCUGUUUCCUCAGCUGCAAAACGAGAAUUCCUACAGCCAGAAAGUUGUGAGGGUUUGGGCGGGGGGCGGGGUUGGGGAAGUUGUUUUUGUUUUUUUGAGACAGGGAUUCUCUCUGUCGCCCAGGCUGGAGUGCAGUGGCGCGAUCUCGGCUCGCUGCAACCUCCGCCUCGCCGGCUCAAGCAUCCUCCCACCUCAGCCUGCAGAGUCGCUGGGACCACAGGUGUGCACGACUACGCUCGUCUAAUUUUUUGUAUUUUAAGGGUAAAGACAAGGUCUCACUAUGUUGCCCAGGCCUGUUUCUAACUCCUGGACUCAAGCAAUCCGCCCACCUCGGCCUCCCAAAGUGCUAUUAGAUCCAAUUUUGAUUUUCCUUGGCAUUCUGUUAAUUCAAACACAUGUAGGUUUAGAAGAGAUUUUCACCUAGAUUUUGGAGGAGAUGGACGUCCAUAAACGUACACUCUUUAGCACAAUUUGUUUGAAACUAAUUUGGAAAACAAAAUCUCUCAAUGAGCAGAAAUAGUCAUGGAACAUUUUUUGUUUGUUUUGCUUUUCUUCGUGAAUAAGCAUAUUUAAAAUAAGAUAAAGGGCUUGAGUUAGCAAAGAGACACCUUAUGGACCAUUGUCUUAGUGAUAAAUGAUGUGUGGGCUACUGCCCAGUCAGGCUUUCGAGAGGCCUAUCAGUCUCUAUGCAGAGGAGGAUAGCCACUCAGAAGCAGGUGGCUUCUGCCUUUCCUUUAAAAGUUAAGCUUAGGGAAAGAUAGUCCUGAACAUGUCAUUAGGGUCAGUAUGGUUCUUGCUGCCUCUAAGAAUUAGUAUAUGGGGCCAAAGCAGGGAGAUGAAAGAAUAUGUUCAAGGAAAAGUUCCAAAGACUGCACCAUAAUAUUCACUUUAUUCCACACAAUUUGCACAUUCAUUGUGACUGGCAUCAAUGAAAACCUUGUAGUCAGUGUAAUGUAUUAAAAAAUCACAUAUUGCAUUUUAGGAAAGAGUCCUUAUAAAACAACAACAACAACCUGUAGAUUUUGAACUCCAUAUGGAGCACAUUUUUUCAAUUAGAUGUUUUCUGAGAUGUCAGUGAGUCCGCCCCUACAGAGGAAAGAGGCUAACUUGACUGAAUUGGUAUGAACAGAUAAUACACUACCCACUACAUGAAGCUGCAGUCAUAGCUGAUAGGGUUGGUAGCACCUAUUGAGGUAAUCACCUCAAUACAUGCUUUUUAAAAGAGUGUAGAGAAGUUAGAAUGCAUUUAAUCAACCUACCAUACUGUAUGCCAAGUAACAGACUGCAAUCCAGAACAAGACAUGAUCUCAUUAACCUAGUUCUGCCCUUGCUGUCAGUGAAAAGAAUGACCCUCUUCCAGAUGCGGAAGAAACAUGUAAACUCAUGAGGCAAUUGCAUUAGUGCAUAGGUUUUGAGGAAAGAGGCUGAUACGGUUUGGCUGUGACCCCACCCAGAUCUCAUCUUGAAUUCCCACGUGUUGUGGGAGGGACCCGGUGGGAGGAAGUUGAGUCAAGGGGGCGAGUCUUUCCCAUGCUGUCCUCAUGAUAGUGGUAAGUCUCAUGAGAUCUGAUGGUUUUAUUAGGAGGAAUUUCCCUGCACAAGCUCUCAUUCUCUCUUGCCUGCCGCCAUGUAAGACAUGUCUUUGCUCCUGCUUCACCUUCUGCCAUGAUCAUGAGGCAUCCCCAGCCAUGUGGAACUGUAAGUCCAUUAAACCUCUUUCUUUUCUAAAUUGCCCAGGUUCAGGUAUGUCUUUAUCAACAGCGUGAAAACAGACUAAUACAGAGGCCAUCACUGUUGCUUGUCAAAAGCAAAGAGAAAUUAUUUUGACAGUCCAUACUCUAAAAUUCCAUAAAGGCUGCUGGCUAGCCAAAUUUGGAGGAAAAUUUUUUGUUAAACUGUCACUUGCAAGGAAUGAAAACAGAAAUGCAUUUUUGCAACUUGGUCUCCCAACUUUCCAGAAAAAUCAACAUAUUAGUGGUUAUUUCCAGCUAUUCUUUUGUUGUUUCCAAGGAGAAUACUGCCUUCACUAGUUUUGUAUCAUGCAUACACUAUCUCACUGAAACUUUUCAUAAAUCUUUAAUGGAUACAUAAAACUAUUGUAAAAAUGUACUACUGUGUUAACAAAUCCUUUAUUAGUUACUACUAUUAUAAAUAUUACAGUGAAUGUUUGCUUAUAAAACUAUCCACAUCUUAUUAUCCUAAGAAUAAUUUCUAGUAAUAGAAUUACUGGUACAAAGAGUAUGAGCACUUCUUUUCUUUUUUUUUUUUUUUUUUUGAGAUGGAGUCUCGCUCUGUUGCCAGGCUGGAGUGCAGUGGCACAAUCUUGGCUCACUGCAACUUCCGCCUCCCGGGUUCAAGUGAUUCUCCUCCCUCAGCCUCCUGAGUAGCUGGGACUACAGGCACACGUGACCACACCCAGCUAAUUUUGUAUCUUUUUUUAGUAGAGACGGGGUUUCACCAUGUUGGCCAGGAUGGUCUUGAUCUCCUGACCUCGUGAUCCGCCUGCCUCAGCCUCCCAAAGUGCUGGGAUUACAGGCGUGAGCUAUCACGCCCAGCUGAGCACUUUUAAUACUCAGUUUUGACCUAGCUUAUGUAGUCUUCUUCCUUCUACCCCCCAGCUCCAAAGUAGGGAAUGAUUAUCUUGUCUCAUCUUUGCCUUAAUAUUAUUCCUUAAUAGCUGAAAGAUGGUAUCUUUCAUUAUAAUGACUCUUAAAUCAUGGACACUUCUUUUUCAGAAAAAGUGGUCAGCUCUGCAGAGGUCAUCAGGCACUUUUUCUCACUUACCACAUCCAAUAACUCCUGUGACUUUAAAAUUCUCUUCUGAGUCCUUUUUCCCUUUCUCUCCAGUGGAUACCUUGACACCCACCUCUGAUUUACCCCAGUCCUCUUCUCUGCUUCCUAAACCUAAAUGAAGUAUCACUGUGUCCCAGAAGAUGAACUUCAUCAGAACAGGGUGUCCCCACAUGAAGCCGCUAACAGAGCUUGAUUCAUAAAUGGAAUCAAGCCAAUGAUUAUUGAAUGAGGUCAGAGGUUGGAAUUAGAGUAGGGUUUUCUGCUCUUAGCAUGGUGACCUACUUGCAACUCAAACUAGAGGAACCCCUCACUGAAAUAGCUAAGUCUGAAGUUUUUAAUCUAAAAUAUCUCCAUGUCAGUUUAAACCUGUUUUCUCUCCUGCAGGUAGAUCUUAAGGCCUUGUAUGUCUAUUUUUCAAAGAUCAGUCCUGGCAGUCAAGAUGAAGAUUUGUAACUACUUAACUAGAUGAGCUUGGACAGGUCACCUGUUCCUUCCAGGCUCCUGUUUACUCAGCCAGGGGAUAGAGUUCAACUAAUCCCUACCAUGAUUAAGGGUCACUCACCUUUUCCAAAAAGGGCUUUGCUGGGUCUUGGGGUUUUAAAGCAAGAUAAGACAUCCACUGAAAAUGGUAAAUAUACGAGGGAAAGAUAACUAGAUCUCACAAGCAACCACCAUUCAAGCACCAAAUAUCAAGAAGCUGUGUAAAUCCCUCUCAAUACCAACCCCAGCAAGUUCAUUUAAUCUCUUAGAUACAUUUCUACAUUGCUGAUUGUAUUAAUUUCCUAUUCUGCAAGCCAGUUAUGAGCCUUAUGGAACUAAAAUAAAGGUGUUGGAAGAGCUAAAAGAGUUAAUAGAUAGAUGGAGGCCAUUAGUGAAUCACACUCAUUGCAAUUGGGCAGCAAGUCCUUUCUUGAAUUGUGAAUCUCCUUUUCUGCCACACACGUGUGUCUGAAUCUCCCUCAACAGCCUGGCUUGACACCUUGCAUGUAGCCCUGGCACCACUAAAGAUUGAUUGGUUGCUUAGAGCAUAGACCUCACUAUUUACAGCCAGCCUCAUUGUGUCAAUAUGUCACUGCCUGAGCAUACUUGUUAGUACUUCCUGACACAGUCAGCUCCAAGUGAAGGAGAAAAAUCAACAAAUCCAUUAGGCCUCAUGAUCACCAUGCUGAAAUCUCACAGCAAAAAUCACAGAUAAAAUACCCUUCCCAAGAUCACACAUUAAGUAACAGAGCUAAGGACUUUCCUUCCAUAACCCUGGAAUAUCUAUUUCUUCCCUAUACUACUAUGGAAGUGACAAGAUCUUGGGAUCAGUGUGACAAGAAAAUAAAGCAGGCCUAGAGUCUACCACGGAGAAACUUCCGCUUAUUAGAAAUAACAGGACAAAGAAAGGCGAAUAGACAAAGCCCUUCCCGAUACAAAUGUGCACACAGUCAACCUGGUGCCAGAGGAGUUACUAAAGUGUUUAAGGGAUGAGAACUCAGUGAGGGUUUGCCAAAGUUUCUGGAGUUCUAAUAGAACUCUCCAAGAAAGAAAAAAUUUAUCUUGGAGGAUUUGUGAGGGGAACUUUCCAGAUGGGAAAACAGCAUAUAAAGAAUCAAUAGCAACAAAUUGGGGAUGAGGCAUUACAUACUUAAAAGAAGAUGAGUGUUUGAGCCCAAGGUAUAGGAGGUAUAGACAGUUUAGUUUGGGGAAGUCUAACUGGUGCAAAUCAGGGUUCAGCUAGGAGCUUCUCUGCAGAUUAUUGCUUCCCAACUCCCCAUGUGGUGUUGGUGGAAGUUGAUUUGCAGCUCCAUCCAGUGUAAUUGCUCCCUCAUUCUGGUCCCUAAGACUGGCAUAAAGAUGUGCCAACUACAGAGGGAAGCAAAUCCCAAAAAAGUGUUUGGGCACUUGCUUUCUUGCCUGCUUCUUAUGAGAUCAUCACCUAUUGGGAUAAUAUAGAAACUAUUCAAAUUGCUUUCUUGUAGGUAUUCCACUGAAAGUUGGAAACAUCUUGAAUGCCCGUGAUUUAUAAUUUUGAUCUCUUCUUUCAAGGCUUACAUAUAAGGAAGCCUUAAUCCAAGCUGGCAAUUGAUUCAAGGCAGCUUGCAAGGAAACGAGAAACUCAGAAACAAGAAACUAUAAAAUAAAGCCAAUGAAAAAAGUGGCUAUCAUAUACCAUCUAGAUAAUAAUGCUUCCUAUCUCAUCCAGACUUGAGAUUCUGACUCUAUGCUGUUUAAAUUGAGAAAGACAGGCAUGUAGGUACUCUGGGCAGGCUAAUAUGGAUUCAUGCAUUCUACAUACCUAUUUAACACCUACUAUAUAUUAGGGAUGCUAGAGAAAUAUUAUCCCUGCUCACAUAAAGCUUAGUCUCUAGUGAUUGGAGACAGGAAAGAUAUCAACUAGUGAUAAGUGCUAUACAGAAUUAAAGAGAUGUGCUGGCGAGUAACAGGGAAGCAUACUCUAGACAGGUAGUCGUGGAUGGCAUCUCUGGGUUGUGCUAAGUGAUACAGUCCAAUAAAACUUUCUGUAAUGAUGGAAAUGGCCUAUACUUGUACUGCCCAGUAUGGUAGCCAUUAGCUACACAUGGCUAUUGAGAACUAGAAAUGCAGGUAGUGGAUACUGUAUUGAACAAUGAAGGUAUGCAGUAAAAAUAUGAAUGGAGGUCUUCCACUUAAACAUGACAUAUUAAAUAUACUUGCUUAUCUCCCCCACCCUCACCCCCACAGGCCAGUAAAGGAAUAAAAAAGAUCCACCAAGACAGAGAAUUAAAGGAGAGACUCCAGCAUAUAAGAGGUCAACCAUUUAGGAAAACAGAAAGUGGAUACAGAAGUGGCAACUGACGUAGCGGAACAGAGAAAGCUGAAGGCUAAGUUCAAGAGGCGGGGGAAGCCAGCAAGAAACAAGCUGAUUCCUGUUGCAGAACUCUCAUCAGCUCAGCAAUAAGCACCACCUGGUUCUCUGAGGGUCUCACUUCACCCAGGCUGGAAUGCAGUGGUGUGAUCACAGCUCACUAUAGUCUCGAUCUCCUGGGCCUCCCACAUCAGCCUUCUUCUUUCGUGGCAAUUUUCCCCCAGGAGGGAUUUCCCUGCAGUGGACCUCCUCCCCAGUGGUACCUUCAGCCAUCAGAACACCUCGCUUUAGAUCUGUGGGUCCCAAAUUUCAUCAAAUCCAAUGACCAUUUCUAUGAUCACUCAUUCUGGGGGCAGCCCUCUGGCAUGUAAUGAGCAGUCCUAUGGAGAGGCCCAUGUGACAGUAGCCAUGCGAGUGACACUGGAAGUGAAACCUGCAGCUCCAGUCAAGCCUUUAGAAGACUGCAGCCCUGGCUGACAGCUUGACAGCAAACUCAUGAGAGACUCUCAGCUUGAACAACUCAGCUAAACUGUUCCUGGGUUCCUGGUCCUCAAAAACUGUACGAGAUGAAAAAAAAGUUUGUUUUUUUAAGCUGCCAAGUUUUGGGAUAAUUUGUUAUUCUAAUAUAUUUUUUAAUACCUGGAAGUAAGGUGCUACCAUAAUAAAUACCUAAAAUGUAGGCACAGCUAGGAAACUAGACAGUGGAGGUAGCUGGAAAGAAUUUAAGAAGCAUAGCAGUGAAAGUCUCAGGAGCCUUGAACAAAACAUUAGAAAAACUUUGGACUUUGACCAGGCUGCUGGUGGAGGUUUAAAAGAAAGUGAGAAAAAUCUUGUUGAAAACAGAACAGGGAAUCCUUACUAUGGAGUGGCAUAAAUCUUAGCAAUAUUGUUGUCUGCAAUAAUGUGGGUGGUGGGAAUGUACCUGGUAAACUGGGUGAUCUAAUUUGCUAUUCAUAAAGACAUAAAGAUUCUCAGCUUUUACAGAUGGUGAAAAAUGCUAAAUUAAGAAAUGGCUGAAGGACAGAGGUCAAAUCCUGGGCACCAUCAUGAAAACAUAAUCCAAAGAUGAAGCUGAGAUGUGACUAUAAAUCCUUUGUUAUGACCUCAGAAAGAUCAAAAGUGGUGCCUCAGAGUACCAGUUUGGUCACACAAAGGCCCUCUAAAGUUUUUAAGGCUGUGACUCACAGAUUCUUUCAAAAACAGGGCUCCUGAGAAGCUUAAGAGCAUAGUUUUUCAGCAGAAUCACAAGGUGGGAAAGGGAUUAUCUCAAAAAGAUUUUUGGGCGUGACUUUUGUCUAAUGGAAUGGACCCCCAAAAAUUCAUAGGUGAUUCACAAAUUUUUUAAAAGAAUUAUAUUAGUAGAAACAUUGCCAACUAGAACUCAAAGGGAUAGAGACAGUAUGAAAUGAAAAAAGGCCUUGGUACUCACUUUGCCCCUGUUUCACUGCAGGUUAAGAAAAAAUUUCAGCUGCAUACAUGUACUAACUUUCAUGAAAAAGAAAGAAUAGCUAAGCAUGGUGACUCACUCCUGUAACCCCAGCACUUUGGGAGGACAAGGUGGGAAGACCACUUGAGCCCAGGAGUUUGAAUCAGCCUGGGCAACAUAGCAAGACUCUGUCUCUUUUUAAAAAAGGAUGACUCUGAAGGGGAAGCUAAAAGCCUCAGAGAAUAACUCAUGCGUAGAAAUAGGACUAAAUCCUAAGGCGAUUCCAACAUUUGCCUGGCUGGAUUUCAGAGCUGCUAUGGGGACAUAGUAGUGUGUCCAGUACCUUUCCUUUUUGAAUAUUAAUGCAUAUAGUGUUUAUUCCUGUUCCACCAUUGUGUGUUUGGGGUGUGUGUGUGUGUGUGUGUGUGUCUAUGUGUGUGCGUGUUAGUUUCAGAUUGAGAGGAAUUAUACCCAAGGAGCUAGAGUUAAGAAAUUAUACCUAAGGAACCUCUUGUGUACCUGGUCCUGAUUUAAAUGACAAGACUCUAGACUUUGAGUUGAUGCUGUAAUGAGACAAGAAUUUUAGAAAUGUUGAGAUGGAGUGGACGUGUUUUGCAUGUUGGAGGGACUUGAUUCACUGGAGCCUAGAAGGCAGACUAUGGUAGCCAGCCCUCAAGAUUGUCUCCUCCUGGUAUUCAUACCCUUGUAUAAUUCCCCUCCCACAUUGUACCAGAAUUUAUCUGUGUGACAGAAUAUGGCAGAAGUAAUGAUAUGUCACUUCUGAGAUUAGGUUAUAAAAGACAUUGUGGCUACCAUCUCUCAUCACUCACUCAAAGGGAAGCCAACCACCAUGCAAUGAGAAUCUCAGGUAAUGAGGACCUGAGACCUGUUGUCAAUCACGUGAAUAAGCUUGGGAGGAGAUUCUCCAGCCCCAGUCAAGCCUCAGAAGACUUCAGCCCUAGGUGACAGCUUGAUGAUAAUCUCGGGAGGCAGAACCACCCAACUAAGCCACUCCUGGAUUCCUGACCCUGACCCUGACCCUAGAAACAGUGUGAGCUGGAAUUCUGUGAAGCACAUGACCUCAAGUCUUUGGAUAAAUGGAAACGCAGCUUAUGCCGGAAAGAUGGAAGGCUGGCUGUACUAAUAUCAGAAAUGGAAGAGGAGAGACAUCACUAGAGAUCCCAUGGAUAUUGAAAGGAUAAUAAAGGAGUAUUAUGAGCAUUGUUAUAUUUUAUGUCUCCUAUAAGCUGUAAAUUCCUACAUAGCAAGAAUUCUGUCUUACUCAUCCUUUAACAACUACUGUGUACCUUAUAAUGUUUCAUAAAAUAUUAUGAUUUGGUUUUAUUAUUCACAAAAGAAUGCUAUAAGAGGUGAAAAAUGGAGAGGCUAGAAAGCAUAAAAACAAGUUACAUCAGGUGGUAGAGCCUGGUUUAAGGGUCAAAGAUAAAAGAAGGGAAGGUUAAGGGCAGGGCUUUAGAGGGAGAGAGGAUAAACACAGUUUGAUUAAAUGGCUGAUUCAGCCGGGUGUGGCGGCUCAUGCGUAUAAUCCCAACACUUUGAAAGGCUGAGGCAGGAGGAUUGCUUGAGCCUAGGAGUUCAAGACCAGCCUGGGCAACAUGGAGAAAUCCUAUCUCUACCAAAAUACAAAUACAAAAACAAAAAUUAGCCAGGUGUGGUUAUAUACACCUGUAGUCCCAGCUGCUUGGGAGGCAGAGGUGGGAGGAUUGGUUAGGUCUAGGAAGUUGAGGCUGCAGUGACCUAUGAUUGCUCCACUGCACUCUAGCCUUGGUGACACAGAGAGAUCCUGUCUCAAAACAAAAACAAACAACAACAACAAAAAACAUAUAUAUAUAUAUAUGAGGUUUAUCCACAGUAAAGUUCAGUCUAGGGUUAAUAAAAGAUUCUAGGGUUCACUAAGACAAAGAGUAGUCGCAGUAGCAGAGCCUUGGGUGAAGCUAAGGUCCCCAGGAGAUCUGGGAUGUCUGUGAGGAACAGUGAGGCUUAGUCAUUCAGACAAGCCAGCAGAAGUGAAGUUUAGAGAAUGUGGAUGGGCCUCAGGCUCUAGACAUCAAAACAAACAGAUAGAAAAGGCAGAGUGUAGAAUCCAGACAGUGAGGCUCACAACAAGGUAUGCAAUUCUGCAUAAGCAGAUUUGAGGGGACACCAACUAUGGACUGAUGUAGAUAAAUAUUUCUGGUAAUUCCAGUUAGUGAUUCACUCUGAACUCACAUAGGAUAGUAUCUCUUCAAAGGCACUUGUGUUGUAAUUAAAUGCACACAUAAGACAUAAUGCUUAUUGAGCCCUUAGCAUGUACCACCCACUCUUAUGCAUACUAUAUGUUUAAACCAUUUAAACUCACACCAACCCCCUGGGGGUAGGUAGUAUUAUUAUCCCUGUUACAGAUAAGGAAAGUGAGAAGUAGGAGUUAAUUGGUCUCAUGAUCCCCUACAGGCUGGCCUUCCAGAAAAAGGAGGUAACUUGCCCCAGGAUACCCUGGAAACCAAUCAGAAUGAAUUGCCUUAAACUCUGGCUUGUAGCCCAAAGCAAGGCUUGCCCACAAGUCUUGCCAGUAUGUGGUUGAACAGAAAUUAGAAUCCAGACAGCCUGAGUCCUUUUCUUGCCAGGCAGGGGCUGGGGCUUCCCCAACCAUGAAAGUUCAGGUGGUAGAUCCUGCCACUGCUUUGCACACCAGCUCCCUGGUGCUAACCUCAACUGCCAGUGCUGAGCUGGAAGGAUAGGGCUGGAGGCAAACUCCUACCCCAUCAUGUUGCUGGUGUAUUCCAUCCUGGUAUUGGUCACACCAAGGAAGGGCCUGGACUUUCCUAAUCAUGCAGCUUAAAAGCAACACAAGGCAAGGCGGGGAGUCCGCUCUCCUGAAGUCUGACAUCCAGGAAGACCAGAUUGCUAUGUGCUGUCUUUGACUUACUUGGAGACUCACACACCUACACUAGUGCCCCCUUAUCUGAGGGGGAUGCAUUCCAAGACCCCCAGUGGAUGCUUGAAACCAUAAAUAAUACCAAACCCUACAUAUACUAUGUUUUUUCAUAUAUAUACCUAUGAUAAAAUUUAAUUUAUAUAAUAGAUUAGGCAGAGACUAAUAACAAUAACUAAUAAUAAAAUAGAAGAAUUAUAACAACAUACUAUAAUAAAAGUUAACGUGAACAUUGUUUGUCUCAAAAUAUCUUAUUGUAUGUAAUAUUUUUGGACUGUGGUUGUUCAUAGCAAGUGAAAACUCAGAUGGGGGAGGGUGGCAUACUGUAUUUAUUUUCCUGUAUCCAUUAGUGUUUCCCAGUGAACACUGCACCAGGAGGUUGGCCAUUUGUCUUUAUUUAUACAUCAAACUAAGGCAUGGAGAAUAAGAGCUUGGUAAGGUCAUAUAGCCAGGAGGUGGUUGAACUGAGAUUCAAACUGAGACAGUCUGAGUCCAAAUUCUACCACCUCUUGUGUGUGACAUUUAAUGGAUAGGUGGGCUUUUGUAACCAGUGUCUCUGCCUUUCUCCAUGAUUCACAGCACAGAAACUUGUGCAUACAUUCUCACUUGAUAUCUGAAUGACUGUAACAGUGAUGUAAAUUAACAAGGAAGGGAGAUAGCCCUGAUUUAAUUGGAAAUCACUGACAGAGCUCGCCCAGUAAACUCUCUACAAACAGAAUACAAAUGUUUUGUAUUUAAUUGCUAAAGUGUUUUAAAAUUGAACUCAAAUUAAUAAAUACUUAUUGUAUCUGUCAGUUAAACGAAACAACCAAUAAACAACCAACUCUGUUUUCUAAUCAAGAGGGACUGAUCCUUUAAAAAAAAUAGGGUUUAAAAAAGAUGAUAUGAUCAAUGUAAAAUUGGAUUAUAGACUUUUAGAGUCUUAAAAGAUGAGAAAAGAGAUAAAGAUGAAUAGAUAUGGAGUAACUAGGAUAAGACUCUCUCACAAACUGGACCUUAAACAGAUUUAGGAAGAAAUAUAGGAUUAGGAUAGAGAAAAAGAAGAGAAAGAAUUGCCUAUAGGCAUAAUAAAAAGCACAAGUGUAUCAAUCAACACAGGGUAUUGUGGACCAGUGAGGAAGGAUCAUGAUCUAGACUAGGGGAUUCAUGUUGGAAACAGUGAGACAAGUUAGAAAGGAUAGGAUGGGACAUAUUAUAUGGUUCCAAACAUAAUAAAUGAGCACUUGAGCUAGAAAGUAGUAUAAUGUUCACAGGUGGUAAAGAGGUAUAAUGAAAAAACUAUACUUCACAAAAAUUAGUGGUGUUCAGUGGGUUGGAGAGAAGACCAAUUAGAAGGUUAUCUGUGGAAUUACAACAACCCAGUGAAUUGAGCUGAUGGAGAGAGAUGCUCCUCCCACUACCAACACUCAAACAUAAGGCAAAAAUAUUUAUAGGUGAUGAGUAAUGAUGAAAAAACAAAAGAACAAAUGAUAGAUGACAUGAAGAAUGGGAGUAGGGAAGACCAUAUUUAAGACUCUGAGGUCAUUAAAUGAUGUAACAUGUUUACUAGCCCAAAAAUAUAUACUAAAAGAGUAGAAAGAAAACAAAAAAUUUCCAAAUCAGUAGCAAGGAUCAAGAAAACAAUCCAAAUGGAAGGAAAGAACAAUGUCCCUUGGAACAUAACAAUAGAACAUAAUAUGAACAGUACCUCCUUCUAUGUAGUGUAGAUAUUAAACAUAGGGUGGGAAGUACACAUAUCAAUUUCAAAAUAGUGGUUUAAUCUGAAAUUGUUAAACAGAGAGGGAGGGAAGCAAUAGAACUGAGAGAGCGUUCAAAAGCCUUUUGUUGUAUCUGUAGAGUCUUUUAUUUCUUAAAAAUACAAUCGUAUACCACAUGAUAACAUUUUGGCCAAUGGACUACACAUAUGACAUGGUCCCAUAAGAUUAUAGUACUGUCUUUUUACUGUACCUUUUCUAUGUUUAGAUAUAUUUACAUAUACAAAUACCACUGUUAAAUUGCCUACAGUAUUCAGCACAGUAACAUGCUGUGCAGGAUUGUAGCCUAGGAGCAAUGGGCUACACCAUGUGGCCUAGGUGUGUCGUAGGCUCUACUAUUUUGGUUUGUAUAAGUACACUCUAUGAUGUUCACACAAUGAUGAAAUCACCUAACGAUGCAUUUCUCAGAAUAAGUUUCUGUUGUUAAGCAACCCAUGAUUGUAUCUGAAGCAAAUAUCUAUAUCUCCUUAUUAAACCUUAGGGUAAGUACAUAAAUUAGAGAAUAAGUAUAUUAUUCUCUAAUUUGCUAUUGUAUUAUAUAUAAUAUAUGUAUAUGUAUACUAUGUAUAUAUUAUACAUAGUAUACAUGU